rnacentral:lncRNA from 1 species
AUGUUUAUCAACUUUGCAGUCGGUAUUAACUCCAAAAAUGAUGAUUCCAUUUCCAUCUGGUUUAAUAGACACUCCACCUCAAAUGACAUACAUCAUCAAAUGAAGCAGCUGACCACAUCAUGGUAUCACCAUUUAUUUAGUAGGUUUGCAAUUGAACUUGAGGAGCAUCACCUUAGAAAUGUGAACGGAACCAGAUACAUUCCAACCCAAAACAGAAGGGAAGGGAUACAGGACGCUUGGUUAACAGAACAUGUUGCAGGUAUGUCGGGGUGUUAACGGAGGUACAAGAGGGAAAAAAUAGAAGGUGCAAAAGGGUGAGGUCCUGGGAACAGAAGAGGGGAUGGGGGAGCAGUUUGCUACAAGUAGCGAUCACAAAACGAAGGCCAUUGGAAUAUGUUCUGGCCAUGACUUUAUAGAAAAACCCUAGGGAGGAGCUUUUAGGAGAAUGGCUUCCCUACUGAGGAAGAGAGACAGAAGGGCAUCUAAAAGUAAAAUCAUGAUGUGGAAACAGCUCAUCAGAGAUCUAUGUAAACCUUUGGCAGAUUGCCCAGGUGGCCACUGCCCUCAUAUCUCUCCUUGUGGGAUUUUCUGUGGAAUGUCCCUCCAGUUCUGUCUGUUAAAAUUCUACCCAGCUUGCCCCCACUGAUGAAUGUGUGUGUGUGUGUGUGUGUCUUUUUAGGACCCCACCCGCAGCAUAUGGAGGUUCCGAGGCUAGGGGUUGAAUCAGAGCUACAGCUGCCAGCUACACCACAGCCACAGCAACACUAGAUCCGAGCUUCGUCUGUGAUCUACACCACAGCUCACAGAAAUACCAGAUCCUUAAGCAACUGGGCGAGGCCAAGGAUUGAACCCAUAUCCUCAUGGAUACUAGCUGGGUUCGUUAACCACUGGGCCACAAUGGGAACUCCUCAAUGCUUCUUUUUUUAAAGGAUAUUAAAAUAGCUUGCCAUUCAGAGAAUGCUGUGAAUACCAAGUUUUGGAAGAUGGAAGUAAGUGGCUUGGAUAUGUGCACCUGGAGAGAGUUCACUGGAAUUCAACCCAUUGAGCUGCUGCUUCUCUGCCUUUAAGGGUCAAGUUCUAAGAGAGAGGAUUGGAGCUGUCCAGCUCAUGUUCUCCCCACUUCCCCCCAACCCCCACUACCCCUGCAGCAUGUGGAAGUUCCCAGGGCAGGGAUCGAACCCACACCACAGCAGUAACCAUAGCCGCAGAAGUGACAAUGCCAGUUACUUAACCUGCUGACCCACCAGGGAACUCUAGGCAUUGGCUAGCUUGGAUUAGAUAUUCUCCCUUUUCAGAUAACCACAGGCUAAGAAGGUAGCACUAAAAAUUGUGAGCUGUGCUGCCUCCCCUUGUAGGGUCUAUGACAAGUAACCCUGGAUCUACUUCUCCCAGAUAAAAUAAAAGGAAUCAACUAUAUCUGUUUCA